GAUUUAACGUUCUGAAACUCUUUUCGAACCAAAAUUGGCACUUGCAAUAAGAGAUUUCUUUCCCACUCACUCUGCGUCUAUCUAAAUCAAAUGGCAUCUAUCCCCUUCACGGACUAUUCCUCCUCCACGGCUACUCGGCUUCUUCCCUUUAGCCGCACCACUUUCCGCCGUAACAGCGCCCUCUUUCUCAGCCGGUUGGUGGGUCCUCUCUCCAUGCGCUCUAGCUCUUUCAGAACCCUCACGGUUGGCUCUUCUUCAGUUUCUUCACUGCCACUCAUAAAUGCUGCAAUCGGNNNNNNNNNNNNUGGAAAGCUGGUGGCCAAGAAAAUAAGGGAGGAGAUAGCUGCUGAAGUAUCGAGGAUGAAGGAUGAAAUUGGUAUUGUUCCUGGGUUGGCUGUUAUUCUUGUUGGGGACAGAAAGGAUUCUGCUACUUAUGUACGAAACAAGAAAAAAGCUUGUGAAUCUGUUGGGAUUAAUUCAUUUGAAGUCCACCUACCUGAAAAUUCCGCAGAACAAGAAGUGCUCAAGUUUAUUUCAGGUUUUAAUGAUGAUCCUUCAGUUCAUGGUAUCCUUGUGCAGUUGCCAUUACCAUCUCAUAUGAAUGAGCAGAACAUCUUGAACGCUGUUAGCAUUGAGAAGGAUGUGGAUGGCUUCCACCCACUGAACAUCGGCCGUCUUGCCAUGCGCAUGCGAGGAAGGGAACCUUUGUUUGUUCCAUGUACUCCUAAAGGGUGCAUUGAAUUGUUGCAUAGAUAUGGUGUUCAAAUCAAAGGGAAGAGGGCAGUUGUGAUUGGUCGCAGCAAUAUUGUUGGAAUGCCAGCUGCUUUGUUGCUUCAAAGGGAAGAUGCAACUAUAAGUAUCGUCCAUACUAGAACCAAGAACCCUGAGGAGAUCACCAAACAAGCAGAUAUCAUAAUAUCUGCUGUAGGACAACCAAACAUGGUGAGGGGGGAUUGGAUAAAGCCCGGUGCUGUUGUAAUUGAUGUUGGAAUCAAUCCAGUUGAGGAUGCAAAAAGUCCUCGAGGUUACAAGUUGGUUGGUGAUGUUUGCUAUGAAGAGGCCUGCAAGGUUGCUUCAGCUGUCACUCCAGUUCCUGGGGGAGUUGGUCCAAUGACCAUAGCAAUGCUUCUCUCCAAUACGCUUAGUUCGGCAAAGAGGGCACACAAUUUUCAGUGACUUGAAUCAGAAUUUUAAAGUUACUCUUACCGUUUGGGAAAUAUGACCUCGUAGGACUGACCUUUACCGUGUUUUGCUUGAGUUUCCGUUCUUUUCUCAGGAAAGUAUGUCUGUCCAUGUGCUGUCCCUUUACCUUGUUGGUUUAAAUUUAGAUAAUGGUUUAGGAACCAGUUUUGAGGCAUACUGGAUUGUCUUGUUACUGCUAAAUGUAUGUUGGAGCUUUUGGGUUCAAGUACUGUUACUUGGUUAUA
rnacentral:misc_RNA from 1 species